rnacentral:rRNA from 1 species
AUACGAAGGGGGCUAGCGUUGUUCGGAAUCACUGGGCGUAAAGCGCGCGUAGGUGGAUCAGUUAGUUGAGGGUGAAAUCCCGGGGCUCAACCUCGGAACUGCCUUCAAUACUGUUGAUCUUGAGACCGAGAGAGGUGAGUGGAAUUCCUAGUGUAGAGGUGAAAUUCGUAGAUAUUAGGAAGAACACCAGUGGCGAAGGCGGCUCACUGGCUCGGUACUGACGCUGAGGUGCGAAAGCGUGGGGAGCAAACAGGAUUAGAAACCCUAGUAGUCC